rnacentral:lncRNA from 1 species
AAGAGGUAGCACCAAGCUUACCUCGGCUUAUGACUCUCAUAGUAUGGCCCUCGGCUUACUUUCUUCAACCUAUUUAUCCUACCAAAAAGAUGAUCCAUCGGCUAGCGGAUUCUAAAGGUUAUGAUCAUUUGAAUUCUUAACCAUUUAUUUCACUAACAACCUACUGUUACCAACUAAACUACCUAAUCAUCUGUCUAAUUCUCAAAGUUGUCAAUAACCAACCAGUAACUUAUCACAAAGUUAAUUUACCUAUUCUACAUAGGCCCACUCCUAAUUGUGCAGAGUCCUUGCAAAUAUUAUUUAGCCUCAACUUAUAAAGACGUAGUAGCGUUGGCUUACCAUCCUUUGAAUUAGUGACCUUCUCCUCUUUAUAUCUUCGUCAUCUGCCUCAGUGUUUGAGGGUUCUCUAUCCAAACGUGCUGUUAGAUCUUCAUUCAACAAAUCCAAUUCCCGUACUUGAGACUCACAUUGGAUAAUUUGGUUGUCAUGCUCCCCCAACAUCUUCUACCAUUUUUCUGUCGGUUUCAAAGGUAUCUCCGUAGGUGAUAUCGCUGAAACUGGUGUAUUGGUCUACACUAAAUUAUUGGCCUCCUUUGUUAAUGCGGCUAGUUUAGUUUGCAACAUCACAACCUCUAUCUGUAGUCGUUCUUGCUGUUCCUUCCAAUCGAUCUCCAUCCUUACUAUCUCAGAUAUCAUAUUCGCCAUC